rnacentral:rRNA from 1 species
CCUACGGGUGGCAGCAGUGAGGAAUAUUGGUCAAUGGGCGGAAGCCUGAACCAGCCAAGUCGCGUGAGGGAUUAAGGCCCUGCGGGUCGUAAACCUCUUUUGUCGGGGAGCAGAGGCCCGCACGUGUCCGGGCCGGGAGAGUACCCGGAGAAAAAGCAUCGGCUAACUCCGUGCCAGCAGCCGCGGUAAUACGGAGGAUGCGAGCGUUAUCCGGAUUUAUUGGGUUUAAAGGGUGCGUAGGCGGACGUUAAAGCCGGCGGUAAAAUGUCGGGGCUCAACCCCGGCCUGCCGUCGAAACUGGGUGCCUUGAGUGGGCGAGAGGUAAGCGGAAUGCGUAGUGUAGCGGUGAAAUGCGUAGAUAUCACGCAGAACCCCGAUUGCGAAGGCAGCAUACCGGCGCCCUACUGACGCUGAGGCACGAAAGUGCGGGUAUCGAACAGGAUUAGAUACCCCUGUAGUC